rfam:Triticum aestivum genome assembly, contig: Triticum_aestivum_CS42_TGACv1_scaffold_557850_7AL
CUUUUACUCCCUCCGUUCGAAAAUAUUUGUCAUCAAAAUGGAUAAAAAGGGAUGUAUCUAUCCAUUUUGAUGACAAGUAUUUUCGGACGAAGGGAGUAUUUA